rnacentral:rRNA from 1 species
GACGAACGCUGGCGGCGUGCUUAACACAUGCAAGUCGAACGGUGAACCUCUUCGGAGGGGAUCAGUGGCGAACGGGUGAGUAACACGUGGGUAACCUGCCCCCGGCUCUGGGAUAACUCCAAGAAAUUGGGGCUAAUACCGGAUGUUCACCGCUUCCCGCAUGGGUGGUGGUGGAAAGGGUUUCCGGCUGGGGAUGGGCCCGCGGCCUAUCAGCUUGUUGGUGGGGUAGUGGCCUACCAAGGCGACGACGGGUAGCCGGCCUGAGAGGGUGACCGGCCACACUGGGACUGAGACACGGCCCAGACUCCUACGGGAGGCAGCAGUGGGGAAUAUUGCGCAAUGGGCGGAAGCCUGACGCAGCGACGCCGCGUGGGGGAUGACGGCCUUCGGGUUGUAAACCUCUUUCAGCAGGGACGAAGCGCAAGUGACGGUACCUGCAGAGGAAGCACCGGCCAACUACGUG